rnacentral:sRNA from 1 species
CUGGCAUCGAUGAAGAACGCAGCGAAAUGCGAUAAGUAAUGUGAAUUGCAGAAUUCAGUGAAUCAUCGAAUCUUUGAACGCACAUUGCGCCCGCCAGUAUUCUGGCGGGCAUGCCUGUUCGAGCGUCAUUUCAACCCUCAAGCCCCAGUGGCCUGGUGUUGGGGACCGGCGACCUCGCCCGGGGGAACACCCCCGGCGCGUCCGCCGCCCCCGAAAUGAAUUGGCGGCCCCGUCGCGGCCUCCUCUGCGUAGUAGCACAACCUCGCAGCGGGAGCGCGACGCGGCCACUGCCGUAAAACGCCCAACUUUUUUUAGAGUUGACCUCGGAUCAGGUAGGAAUACCCGCUGAACUUAA